UACGUAGGGUGCGAGCGUUAAUCGGAAUUACUGGGCGUAAAGCGUGCGCAGGCGGUUUUGUAAGCCAGAUGUGAAAUCCCCGGGCUUAACCUGGGAAUGGCAUUUGGGACUGCAAGGCUUGAGUGCGGCAGAGGAGACUGGAAUUCCUGGUGUAGUGGUGAAAUGCGUAGAGAUCAGGCGGAACACCCGUGGCGAAGGCGGCCAGCUGGGUCGUCCCUGACGCUGAGGCGCGAAGGCGUGGGGAGCGAACGGG
rnacentral:rRNA from 1 species